UUCAGCUCAACAAGAUUAAAUCUUGCCUAAUUUAUGUAUGUUUACGAGCUUAUUCACAUUUUAAUGAUCUUCUCAAUGAUUUUCAAACUAUUCAAAUUAAUAUGAUUUAAUUAUCAAUUCAGCAAACUGAAUCGAUUUAAUUUCUUAUCUUGUGAUAUAUAUUAUAAUUAUAUGAUUCUUGAAAAUACAUGAUUAAUUUAUAUACGUAGACAUUGGGAA
rnacentral:misc_RNA from 1 species